GCAGGCACGUGGCUGAUGCCCUCAGCUCCCGGGGUUGGCAGCUGGCAGCCCGACAGCAGGACUGUGCUGUGUCUCCAGGAUAGAGCACAGAGCAGAGACUUCACUGGGCCAAGCAAGCAGCCAGCCAUCGGUCAGCUCUUCUGUGCCGGUGGUGUCUUCCGACUCAUCUGUCCGCUCCCAAAAUGGAGUAUGCCUGGUACUGGCUCGAUGAUUCUGGGCAGUGGAUUGAGUAUGGGGAAGAGGUGAGAUCUGUCCGCUGUUGAUGCUA
rnacentral:lncRNA from 1 species